AUUGAACGCUGGCGGCAGGCUUAACACAUGCAAGUCGAGCGGGGGAAGGUAGCUUGCUACCGGACCUAGCGGCGGACGGGUGAGUAAUGCUUAGGAAUCUGCCUAUUAGUGGGGGACAACAUCUCGAAAGGGAUGCUAAUACAGCAUACGUCCUACGAGAGAAAGCAGGGGAUCUGCGGACCCUGCGCUAAUAGAUGAGCCUCAGUCGGAUUAGCUAGUUGGUGGGGUAAAGGCCUGCCAAGGCGAUGAUCUGUAGCGGGUCGGGGAGGAUGAUCCGCCACACUGGGACUGAGACACGGCCCAGAGUCCUACGGGAGGCAGCAGUGGGGAAUAUUGGACAAUGGGGGGAACCCUGAUCCAGCCAUGCCGCGUGUGUGAAGAAGGCCUUAUGGUUGUAAAGCACUUUAAGCGAGGAGGAGGCUACUUUAGUUAAUACCUAGAGAUAGUGGACGUUACUCGCAGAAUAAGCACCGGCUAACUCUGUGCCAGCCGCCGCAGUAA
rnacentral:rRNA from 1 species